AGUGAACGCUGGCGGCGUGGAUUAGGCAUGCAAAUCGAGCGAUCUCGCAAGAGAUAGCGGUAAACGGGUGAGGAACACGUAAAUAAUCUUCCCCUUAUCCUGACAUAGCUCUAUGAAAAUAGAGGUAAUAUCAGAUGACACCAUGAGUUCUCAUGAACUUAUGUUUAAAGACCGGGACCGCAAGGCCGGUCGAUAUGGGAUGAGUUUGCGUAGCAUCAGCUAGUUGGUAGGGUAAUGGCCUACCAAGGCUUUGACGCUUAGCUGGUCUGA
rnacentral:rRNA from 1 species